rnacentral:rRNA from 1 species
CCUACGGGAGGCAGCAGUGAGGAAUAUUGGUCAAUGGGCGGAAGCCUGAACCAGCCAAGUAGCGUGCAGGAUGACGGCCCUACGGGUUGUAAACUGCUUUUAUACGGGAAUAACGCGCCUUACGUGUAGGGCUUUGCAUGUACCGUAUGAAUAAGGACCGGCUAAUUCCGUGCCAGCAGCCGCGGUAAUACGGAAGGUCCGGGCGUUAUCCGGAUUUAUUGGGUUUACAGGGAGCGUAGGCCGCAUGUCAAGCGUGCUGUGAAAUGUCCGGGCUCAACCCGGGCCUUGCAGCGCGAACGGGCGUGCUUGAGUCCGCGUCACGCAGGCGGACUUCGUCGUGUAGCGGUGAAAUGCUUAGCUCUGACGAAGACCCCCGAUUGCGAAGGCAGCUUGCUGCAGCGGAACUGCCGCUGAUGCUCGACAGCGCGGGUAUCGAACAGGAUUCGCUACCCGGGUAGUC